AUUGGCCACAAAGUUCGUUUGGGUUUUUCUAGAAGAUGUUAUGGACAAACCUGAACAAACUUUUUGGCC
rnacentral:miRNA from 1 species